UUCCGGUUGAUCCCGCCGGACCUGACUGCUAUCGGAUUGAUACUAAGCCAUGCGAGUCUUUGUAGUAAUACAAGGCAGACGGCUCAGUAACACGUAGUCAACCUACCCUAUGGACGAGAAUAAUCUCGGGAAACUGAGCAUAAUUCUUGAUAGAUCAUAAUGCCUGGAAUGGUUUAUGGUUAAAAUGAUUCGUCGCCAUAGGAUGGGACUGCGGCCUAUCAGCUUGUUGGUGAGUAAUGGCCCACCAAGGCGAUUACAGGUACGGGCUCUGAGAGGAGAAGCCCGGAGAUGGGUACUGAGACACGGACCCAGGCCCUAUGGGGCGCAGCAGGCGAGAAAACUUUGCAAUGUGCGAAAGCACGACAAGGUUAAUCCGAGUGAUUUCUGCUAAAGAAAUCUUUUGCCAGUCGUAAAACCGCUGGUGAAUAAGGGGUGGGCAAGUUCUGGUGUCAGCCGCCGCGGUAAAACCAGCACCUCAAGUGGUCAGGAUGAUUAUUGGGCCUAAAGCAUCCGUAGCCGGCUUUGUAAGUUUUCGGUUAAAUCCAUGUGCUCAACGCAUGGGCUGCCGAAAAUACUGCAUAGCUAGGGAGUGGGAGAGGUAGACGGUACUCAGUAGGUAGGGGUAAAAUCCUUUGAUCUAUUGAUGACCACCUGUGGCGAAGGCGGUCUACCAGAACACGUUCGACGGUGAGGGAUGAAAGCUGGGGGAGCAAACCGGAUUAGAUACCCGGGUAGUCCCAGCUGUAAACGAUGCAGACUCGAUGAUGCAUUGGCAUAAUAGCCAUUGCAGUGUCGCAGGGAAGCCGUUAAGUCUGCCGCCUGGGAAGUACGUACGCAAGUAUGAAACUUAAAGGAAUUGGCGGGGGAGCACCACAAGGGGUGAAGCCUGCGGUUCAAUUGGAGUCAACGCCGG
rnacentral:rRNA from 1 species